CCUACGGGGGGCAGCAGUGGGGAAUCUUGCGCAAUGGGCGAAAGCCUGACGCAGCCAUGCCGCGUGAAUGAUGAAGGUCUUAGGAUUGUAAAAUUCUUUCACCGGGGACGAUAAUGACGGUACCCGGAGAAGAAGCCCCGGCUAACUUCGUGCCAGCAGCCGCGGUAAUACGAAGGGGGCUAGCGUUGCUCGGAAUUACUGGGCGUAAAGGGAGCGUAGGCGGACAUUUAAGUCAGGGGUGAAAUCCCGGGGCUCAACCUCGGAAUUGCCUUUGAUACUGGGUGUCUUGAGUAUGAGAGAGGUGUGUGGAACUCCGAGUGUAGAGGUGAAAUUCGUAGAUAUUCGGAAGAACACCAGUGGCGAAGGCGACACACUGGCUCAUUACUGACGCUGAGGCUCGAAAGCGUGGGGAGCAAACAGGAUUAGAUACCCUAGUAGUC
rnacentral:rRNA from 1 species